GGAUCUGAGAGUUUCUGUUAGUGGGCCAAAUUUCUCGCGCCGAGGCGCAUAUGAGAGGCUACUUACCUUCAUGAGGUAGCCGAUGCUCUUCUCACUGAAGACCUCUUUGAGGAAGACCAGAUCCUCCUUGUGGUUGGCAUCGGGGUGCAGCUGAGAGACGCCGCGGGCAUGCUUGACGGAAUCAUCCAAGGAGGCGAGGAGGCAAGGAGGAAGGUCAACCGCCACGCCCGGCGAAGGUCGCUCCAAUGCUGCCCGCCGAUCCUCCACUUCAGUCCAAGGGACAUACAUGGGACCUGACGGCAGGAAAAAGACAAAACGGGACCAAAAAAAAUCAUUUGCAGUGAAAUGGCCUUCCGGUUGUUUCCACGUUUGGACUCACCGCCUCGGAAGUGCGCCUUGUUUCAGGGUCUUCGAAGUUUGAUGCAUUUGGAGGUGGACUUUUUCUGAAUGCCCCAAAAAAAGUCAGAGAAAUGGUUUGGCAUUCGUGUCAAUCUUUUUACAGUAAGAGAUCAAAAAUGAGAGAAAUAAGCAUGCCGUACAUUUGGGGCGGGGCAAAAGAUUACAAAGACUAAUAUUUGGGAAGCACUGUCACGUCAUCUCACCUCAAGAAAGGCAGGCUGGGCAUGGAAGGCAUUGAAGGCAUGGAAGGCAUUGAAGGCAUUGAAGGCAUUGAAGGCAUGGAAGGCAUGGAAGGAAGGCUGUCCCGGAGACUCUGCGGAAGAUGGAAGAUGUUGGACUUCCUCCUGGCGGCGUAAACCAGCGCAACGAGCAGGACCAAGACGAUGACCGUCACUCCGAUGGCGAUGCCGACUGCAACGAGGAGCACACGUGUGGCGGCGGAACUGGGUGCUGGAGCAGUCGGCGACGCAUUGGAUCUUGAAGCCCACUGCGAAUCCAAUGAAGUGAUCCGGACACUCGCAGGUGGCCCUCUGCCCGCCGGGGGCAAUCAGACACAGAUGGCUGCAGGUCAGGCUGUGGGACCAGCACGGGUUUUCACCUGCGGCGAAAAAGGACCACAUUCUCCGCUGCAGUCCAGGUGUAAGAGGCGGGGAUGCAGGCCCCGUUGGCGCAGGUGAACUGGGAGCUGCUGCACGUGUCGGAAGGUAAAUGCAAAGGCCGUUGGAGCAGGCAAACUCAUUCAUGUGGCAGGUCCGAUUUGGGCAGUUCUGGAGCUCAUCCGCCGCGUCCAGGCAGUCUUUGUCCCCGUCACACACGUAGUUUAAGGGCACGCAGCGCGGGUGACCCGGCAGCCACGUCGGGCAGGUGAACUGGUUGGAGCUGCACGUGCGCUGGCCUGUGGGAGACGCAAAUCCAUCAAUGGCACGUAGGGCUAAACGACUGACCGCAUUGCAGCUCGGGAGCCUCGUCGCUGUUGUCCCAGCAGUCGUUGUUGCCGUCGCACACCAAGUACUGAGGGACGCAGUUUCCGUUGGUACAAGUGAACUCGCUGACGCCGCAAGUUUGCACGUGAUGCUCUGGAUGGAAAAGAACAAGAUGGCGAGAUGCAGCCAAGAGGAGAUUUCGGUCCGGAAAGAUGAAAUGAGCCCUACCGCAGCUAGGAGGUUCGUCGCUUCCAUCGGCGCAAUCCUUGUAGAAAUCGCACACCCACCAUUGAGGGAUGCACUUCCCACUGUCGCACUGGAACUUGUCGGGGGGGCACGUGCGGCCCGCUGUUGCCAACGCAAAUCCAACUUGAGAGCCCGCCAACAAAUUGUCCGACGGAUGGAUCGGCUUACCGCAGAAGAGAGGAUUCUCAUCGCUGUUGUCGCCGCAGUUGUUGUAGCCGUCGCACAGGUUGUCGGGGUAGAUGCAGAUGUUGGUGUUGUCGCAUUUGACCUUGCCCGAGGGACACUGCCUGUCAGCUGGAGAGAGUCAAAGG